UUGGCACAUGGCUCCAAGGAUUCUUAUCAUUACAUUAAGAUCACACUCCACCCUCACACCUCUCUCUCCCAUUUUCGGCUGCCCAUAGCUGAUUUCACCAUCACCACCACUUAAUCACCAUCUUCAUCCAUUUCUAAGAUCCAUUCAAGCAUUGAAGGUGGUUCAUGAAGGUAGCAAGUUGAAGGAACUUCAAGGAAGCCUUGUUCUAAUCUUAUCAUCACCUCUUUCACCAUCAUCUUUGUCCUAAGAUUGUUACCCUAGCCUUGUGCUAGUAGAUCUUCGUUUAUGCACUUUUGGUAGUCGUGUUUGCUGAGGAGAUUUGG
rnacentral:lncRNA from 1 species